AGUUGUGAUCAAAGCUGGACCUUUUCAGAGAAGGUCUCGAAUCCUGAAGACAGACUUCGAGGGGAUGAUGCAGCAAGAAGACCCACACCAGAUGAGGGCGCCUUGAUAUUGGAUUUCCCAGCCUCCAGAACUAAGCCUGGGACUUGCCUCUGUGAUCUGGUGCUUUGGAGGGCCUUGGGCCUCAGGGCUAGCAAGGUCCCUUUCUGGAGAUUCCAGUUCCUCUGCCCGCCCUCCUUUACCUCUUUCUCCUCACACAUCUGUCUGAGGGAUGGGGAUGAGGGCUGCCAACCAAUGUUACCACUUGACAGACCACAAGAGGGCUGGUUCCAGUGCCUCCCUUGUUCAGCUGCUGACACUGCAGCUUGGCAGUCAUUGAAGGCAAUAUUUAGCUCCUACAUCUGACCUGAUUGGAAGAUCAGGCUUCUGUCGUCCUGGUUUCCUGGCCUUGGAUAGUUCUUCACUAACUUUUAUUCAUUAAGGCAGUGGGCAGAAAGCAGCAGAACCCUGUUUUUUCUUUUUUUGGGGUUUUUGUUGUUGUUGUUGUUGUUG
rnacentral:lncRNA from 1 species